AGUCAUAACAUCGCAGCGAUACCUCCAAGAGCCAGAAUGGGAAACGCCUCAUCAAACUUUUCAAACUCUGGAAAUAUAACUGUCAGAGCAAGCCCAAAUGCAGGUCCUCUUCAGGCAAGCCCAGUCCAACAAGCUGCUGACAAGACUGCCUGCAUUUAUAUCAAAAAUGAUACAAAUAACAUCGAGCUGACU